UACAGAGACCUCAAACGUUAUCCGGAAUCACUGGGCGUAAAGCGUUCCGAUAGGUGGUUUUGUAAGUCUUUGGUGAAAGCCUGGAGCUCAACUCCAGAAUCGCCAAGGAAACUAUAAGACUAGAGGAAGAAAGAGGGUGCUGGAACUCUGGGUGUAGCGGUGAAAUGCGUUGAUAUCCAGAGGAACACUCAAAGCGAAGGCAGGCACCUGGGUCUUUCCUGACACUGCUAGGACGAAAGCGUGGGGAGCGAAUGGG
rnacentral:rRNA from 1 species